AAAUAGAAGAUUUGUUAGGUCACUAAAGUAAUUGGGGCUCAUCUGAACCCCAACUUUGUUUUGGAAAGAAAGGAGGAUGAAAAACAAAGUGAGAGGCAACAAACUUCCCUGCCUCAAAUUUUCUUGUUGCCAUUUCUACUCUUUAUUGAGUAACUUAGCAAAUUGUAUCUGGCACACAUACGUGAUGUUGUCACUUGUCAGUUGUUAUAAAAAAAUUUUAAAUACUUAGUCCAAAAUGGAAAUAAUGACAACCUUAUAUCUUCAACAUGUAAUUCAUUCAACAGCUGCACAAACAAGAUUCUUGAAAUCAAGAGGUGAUUGUUUUUUCCCCUAACUAGUUUUGAAAGACAACAUAAUUUAAAUUUCUGAAUGCAUUGACAACAUCAUGUUCUGCAUGCAAAAUACACUGGAUAGUAAUCACAUAACCCAUUCAACAGCUGCAAUGCAUGAAUGGUGAAAACUCUUGGUGAACUUG
rnacentral:misc_RNA from 1 species